AGUGAACGCUGGCGGUAGGCCUAACACAUGCAAGUCGAACGGCAGCACAGUAAGAGCUUGCUCUUACGGGUGGCGAGUGGCGGACGGGUGGGGAAUACAUCGGAAUCUACUUUUUCGUGGGGGAUAACGUAGGGAAACUUACGCUAAUACCGCAUACGACCUACGGGUGAAAGCAGGGGAUCUUCGGACCUUGCGCGAUUGAAUGAGCCGAUGUCGGAUUAGCUAGUUGGCGGGGUAAAGGCCCACCAAGGCGACGAUCCGUAGCUGGUCUGGGAGGAUGACAGGCACGACUGGAACUGAGCAACGGUCCAGACCCGAAUGGUAGGCGGCGGUGGGGAAUAUUGUAUAGUGGGCUCAGCCGUAACCCGACCAAACGGCGUGGUGGAAGAGGUCCUUCGGGUUGGAAAGCCCUUUUGUUGGGAAAGAAAGGCAGCAGGUUAAUACCCCGCGUUUCUGAGGUAACCAAAGAAUAAGCGCCGGCUAACUUCGUG
rnacentral:rRNA from 1 species